AUGUUGUUCUCUCCCUUGCCUAUUGCAACUUGUUUUUUUGUUGUUGUUUUUUUCAUUUUCAUUUCUUUUGUUUUGUUCCCUGUUUUUUGAUUUUCUAUCAUCAUUUGGGCUGCCAUUUUGUUCUUUUUUUUAUUUUAAUCUGCUCCCUAUCGGUGAUCUUGCUUUCCCACUCUCUUGCUAUUUGUUUCGUUAGGUAAGUUGGUGUGCUCUGUUUAGUAAGUUUGGGUUUUGGGUGUAUUUUCGAAUCUUGAUGUGGAAUUUUUAUGAGGUUUAUGAUUGUAGUUUGGUCAAUUGUUUGUUUGAAACUUGAAUUAGUUUCGUAGAGUUCUCGUUGUUAGGUGAUAAUUUUAAAGCAUCCAAUCUUUCUCCCGCGUCGUAAUUUUGAGUGGUUGCUGUUCGCUUAAUCGGUAAGAGUACGGAUGUGAUUUUUAG
rnacentral:lncRNA from 1 species